UACAGAGGUCUCAAGCGUUGUUCGGAAUUACUGGGCGUAAAGCGUGCGCAGGCGGUGAUGUAAGACAGUUGUGAAAUCCCCGGGCUCAACCUGGGAACUGCAUCUGUGACUGCAUCGCUGGAGUGCGGCAGAGGGGGAUGGAAUUCCGCGUGUAGCAGUGAAAUGCGUAGAUAUGCGGAGGAACACCGAUGGCGAAGGCAAUCCCCUGGGCCUGCACUGACGCUCAUGCACGAAAGCGUGGGGAGCAAACAGG
rnacentral:rRNA from 1 species